UGGAGCUUGCUCCGGGUAGAUUUAGUGGCGGACGGGUGAGUAACACGUGAGCAACCUGCCUUUCAGAGGGGGAUAACGUUUGGAAACGAACGCUAAUACCGCAUAACAUCAUUUGGUGGCAUCACCAGAUGAUCAAAGGAGCAAUCCGCUGAAAGAUGGGCUCGCGCCCGAUUAGAUAGUUGGUGGGGUAAUGGCCUACCAAGUCUGCGAUCGGUAGCCGGACUGAGAGGUUGAUCGGCCACAUUGGGACUGAGACACGGCCCAGACUCCUACGGGAGGCAGCAGUGGGGAAUAUUGCACAAUGGGGGAAACCCUGAUGCAGCGACGCCGCGUGAGUGAAGACGGUCUUCGGAUUGUAAAGCUCUGUCUUCGGGGACGAUAAUGACGGUACCCGAGGAGGAAGCCACGGCUAACUACGUGCCAGCAGCCGCGGUAAUACGUAGGUGGCGAGCGUUGUCCGGAAUUACUGGGUGUAAAGGGAGCGCAGGCGGGGAGCCAAGUUGGAUGUGAAAUACCGCAGCUCAACUGCGGGGCUGCAUCCAAAACUGGUUCUCUUGAGUGAAGUAGAGGUAGGCGGAAUUCCUAGUGUAGCGGUGAAAUGCGUAGAUAUUAGGAGGAACACCAGUGGCGAA
rnacentral:rRNA from 1 species